rnacentral:tRNA from 1 species
GCCUGUGUGGCUCAGUCGGUUGAGCAUCCGACUUCAGCUCAGGUCACGAUCUCGCGGUCCGCGAGUUCAAGCCCCGCGUCGGGCU